rnacentral:misc_RNA from 1 species
AACGCACCUUGCACCCCUUGGCAUUCCGAGGGGCACGCCCGUUUGAGUGUCGUGAACAUCUCAACCUUUACGGUUUUUCUUCCGUGAAGGCUUGGUCGUUGGAUGCUUUUGCUGGAGUCCCACGGGAAGCCAGCUCCUCUCAAAUGAAUUAGCAGGGUCCUCUUUGCCGAUCCUCGACGUGUGAUAAGAUGUUUUCCAUGUCUUGGGCUUCUGGCUCUGUCACCUUUUGGGACCCGCUUCUAAUGGUCUCGUCGUCGAGACAAUGUCAGGAAGGGUGUCUUUGUACGCUCGACCCCACGAGAACCCACUUGACCUCAAAUCGGGUGAGACUACCCGCUGAACUUAA